rnacentral:rRNA from 2 species
AAGUCUGAUGGAGCAUGCCGCGUGAGUGAAGAAGGGUUUCGGCUCGUAAAACUCUGUUGUUAAAGAAGAACACCUUUGAGAGUAACUGUUCAAGGGUUGACGGUAUUUAACCAGAAAGCCACGGCUAACUACGUGCCAGCAGCCGCGGUAAUACGUAGGUGGCAAGCGUUGUCCGGAUUUAUUGGGCGUAAAGCGAGCGCAGGCGGUUUUUUAAGUCUGAUGUGAAAGCCUUCGGCUUAACCGGAGAAGUGCAUCGGAAACUGGGAGACUUGAGUGCAGAAGAGGACAGUGGAACUCCAUGUGUAGCGGUGGAAUGCGUAGAUAUAUGGAAGAACACCAGUGGCGAAGGCGGCUGUCUAGUCUGUAACUGACGCUGAGGCUCGAAAGCAUGGGUAGCGAACAGGAUUAGAUACCCUGGUAGUCCAUGCCGUAAACGAUGAGUGCUAAGUGUUGGAGGGUUUCCGCCCUUCAGUGCUGCAGCUAACGCAUUAAGCACUCCGCCUGGGGAGUACGACCGCAAGGUUGAAACUCAAAGGAAUUGACGGGGGCCCGCACAAGCGGUGGAGCAUGUGGUUUAAUUCGAAGCUACGCGAAGAACCUUACCAGGUCUUGACAUCUUCUGCCAAUCUUAGAGAUAAGACGUUCCCUUCGGGGACAGAAUGACAGGUGGUGCAUGGUUGUCGUCAGCUCGUGUCGUGAGAUGUUGGGUUAAGUCCCGCAACGAGCGCAACCCUUAUUAUCAGUUGCCAGCAUUCAGUUGGGCACUCUGGUGAGACUGCCGGUGACAAACCGGAGGAAGGUGGGGAUGACGUCAAAUCAUCAUGCCCCUUAUGACCUGGGCUACACACGUGCUACAAUGGACGGUACAACGAGUUGCGAAGUCGUGAGGCUAAGCUAAUCUCUUAAAGCCGUUUCUCAGU